GCAGGAGACCCUUGCUGACCUGGUCCCACCCCUGCCGAGAGCUCGGCCGGAAGAUGGCGGCGGCCGCUGAGUUGACGCUGCUGGAGAAGUGUCUGGGGCUCAGUAAAGGCAACAAGUACAGCGCUCAGGGCGAGCGUCAGAUUCCAGUUCUUCAGACGAACAAUGGUCCAAGUCUAACGGGAUUGACUACCAUAGCAGCUCACCUAGUCCAGCAGGCCAACAAGGAAUAUUUGCUGGGGAGCACCGCGGAGGAAAAAGCAGUGGUUCAACAGUGGUUAGAAUACAGGGUAACUCAAGUAGAUGGACACUCCAGUAAAGACGACAUCCGCACUGUUCUGAAGGAUCUUAAUUCAUAUCUUGAAGAUAAAGUCUACCUUACAGGAUAUAACUUCACAUUAGCAGAUAUCCUCUUAUACUAUGGACUUCAUCGCUUUAUUGAAACGUCUUAUCAAUCCAGAGACAACUAGAGAUAACACAAGCCCUUCAGGGAGAUUCCACGGGUCAAAGAGCAAGGACACAGAGCAGCCCGGACCCCAGCCCAAGGGGAUGUCUCAUCUUCCCGUGCUUCUCCACAGCACGGCCUCUCCCCAGCAGGACAGCCUAGACUUCCUGACAGGAGCAAAAGCAGAAACUGCCAGGUGACUUAAGGCCCACCAUGUUCUACCCAUCAAAGCAAGUCACAAGGUCAGUUCAGACUCCAGGGGAGGGGAAACAAACUCCGUCUCUUGAUGGGCAGCAAGGGAGGAAACAUGGCAGCCAUCUUAGAGACUCUCCCACAUUCUCUGAUCUUCAGCUUCUGUAUCUGAAAAUGGGUAUUUUAAUAUUUAUCCUAACUAGAAUAAUGAGAAGAUGGUAUGUUAUGUGUGAUGACAUUUUAUAAAUUGUAAAGCGCCAAACACGUGCAAGACAUUAUAGUGGUGGCAAAUAAAGGUGAAUUGGGAGAAAGAGCAGAUUAUACAGGGCUUUAAAAGGAGAUAGAGGAGGUUAUUGAAAUAGUAUUUAUUGAGCAUUUGCUGUGCCAAGCACUGUUCUAAGUACUUUACAGGUAUUAACUUCUUUAAUCAUCACUUUAUAAUAUGGAUAUCUUAUUGCUAUUCUGUAGAAAAGGAACAUCAGGCAAGUGGCACAGUCAGAAUUUGAACCCAGUUCUGUCUGAUUCCAAAGUCUUAACUACUGCACCUGGAAUUUGUAAGGCCAGCAGGUCCGGGGAAGGGCCCAGGAAGCCAGACGGAACCCCCGCCAAAGUGGCUGAUGCAACCGACACCUGACAUUGCCACACCACUCGGCCCCGGUCUUCCCGCUCCCCGAGGGGCAGAACCAACGGCUCUGAGGCUGAUGCAACCGACACCUGACAUUGCCACAACACCCGAGAGAUUACCAAAAAAGGGCUGCUUCACACAGCAAGACCUCCCCUGUGUCCACCCCUAUACAUUUUGUUAGCGCCCGCACCCUGGGCGCGACUUCUCUGGCCCCUUUCUCUCGGACCAGUGAACCUCGCCCUGGAGCGUUCCCAAAUAAAGCUUGUUUAAGCUCU